UACAGAGGGUGCGAGCGUUAAUCGGAAUUACUGGGCGUAAAGCGCGCGUAGGCGGCUUUGCAAGUCGAGUGUGAAAUCCCCAGGCUCAACCUGGGAACUGCAUUCGAGACUGCAUAGCUAGAGUAUGGGAGAGGGAAGUGGAAUUUCAGGUGUAGCGGUGAAAUGCGUAGAUAUUGGAUGGAACACCAGUGGCGAAAGCGGCUCUCUGGCCCGGAUCUGACGCUGAGGCGCGAAAGCGUGGGGAGCAAACAGG
rnacentral:rRNA from 1 species